GGAGCGGCGCGCGUCCCCCGCAGCGAUGCCGCGGCUGCAGGAGCGCGGGAGCUGGAACGCACCACCCGCCUGCUGCAGGGCGGCCGCUACGGGGACGAGGCGGUGCCGGCAGGUGGCGCUGCGGCCUUCAGGAGCCGCCGGCUCCCGCGGGGGAAAGCGGCUGAAUGCGGUUACCGCAGCAAGCGGCUUGCUAUAGAGCUUACUCACUCGGAUGGAUGAAGUCAUGGCCUCUGGCUACCCAGCAACACCUCAGGGAAGAUGCAAACAGAAGGCAAAUAGCUGCAAAAAUUUCGAAGGGGGAGGGAGGAAAUCUUUCAUAAAAACAGCUUGUACUCCAGUAAAUCCAGUGUUCUCAAGGUACUCCUGAUGCUUCUAAGUUGGGAUCUGUGGAAAGAGAAGUUGAGGGUGUACUGCAGCAAUUGCACCAAGAACACAAACACAUAGCAAGUUCCCCUCUCACAAAUAUGUCACACCAAGAGAAGGAACUGGUUAAAAGGAUGCUUGUCCCAUUUGUCAGGAGUUCUUCAAGAAAACGUUUCCCAUCACUUACUGCAGGACUACUUGUGCCCCACAGAACAUUGUAAAAUCUGAACCCAGUAUUUUAGCUAGCAAGCUAAUUUACUUGCCCUAGGUAAUCAACAUAGAUGCUGUUUGAAUAGCUUUCAUCGUGGUCGAGAUUCCCACCAUGUAAUCACAAGCCCGCUUUAGAUCCUGAAAAUGAUUAUACUGCAUCGAAGCACUGAUCUGAGCCACACAGAUUCAUCUGCAGAAGCAAGGCCUCAAC